rnacentral:rRNA from 1 species
UAGGGAAUCUUCGGCAAUGGACGAAAGUCUGACCGAGCAACGCAGCGUGAGUGAAGAAGGUUUUCGGAUCGUAAAACUCUGUUGUUAGAGAAGAACAAGGACGUUAGUAACUGAACGUCACCUGACGGUAUCUAACCAGAAAGCCACGGCUAACUACGUGCCAGCAGCCGCGGUAAUACGUAGGUGGCAAGCGUUGUCCGGAUUUAUUGGGCGUAAAGCGAGCGCAGGCGGUUUCUUAAGUCUGAUGUGAAAGCCCCCGGCUCAACCGGGGAGGGUCAUUGGAAACUGGGAGACUUGAGUGCAGAAGAGGAGAGUGGAAUUCCAUGUGUAGCGGUGAAAUGCGUAGAUAUAUGGAGGAACACCAGUAGCGAAGGCUGCUCUCUGGUCUGUAACUGACGCUGAGGCUCGAAAGCGUGGGGAGCAAACAGG